rnacentral:rRNA from 1 species
GGGACAACAGUUGGAAACGACUGCUAAUACCGCAUAAUCCCUGAGGGGGAAAGAUUUAUCGCUUUAAGAUUGGCCCGCGGAAGAUUAGGUAGUUGGUGGGGUAAAGGCCUACCAAGCCGACGAUCUAUAGCUGGUCUGAGAGGACGAACAGCCACAUUGGAACUGAGACACGGUCCAGACUCCUACGGGAGGCAGCAGUGAGGAAUAUUGGGCAAUGGAGGAAACUCUGACCCAGCCAUGCCGCGUGAGUGAAGAAGGUUUUCGAAUUGUAAAGCUCUUUCGGAUGGGACGAUGAUGACGGUACCAUCUAAAGAAGCCCCGGCAAACUUCGUGCCAGCAGCCGCGGUAAUACGAAGGGGGCAAGCGUUGUUCGGAAUUACUGGGCGUAAAGGGUGUGUAGGCGGAUUUGUAAGAUAGUGGUGAAAUACCUGAGCUCAACUUAGGAAUUGCCAUUAUAACUAUAGAUCUGGAGUGACAGAGAGGAUAUUGGAAUACCCAGUGUAGAGGUGAAAUUCGUAGAUAUUGGGUAGAACACCAGUGGCGAAGGCGAGUAUCUGGCUGUCAACUGACGCUGAGGCACGAAAGCAUGGGGAUCAAACAGGAUUAGAUACCCUGGUAGUCCAUGCUGUAAAAGAUGAAUGCUAGUUGUCGGCAAAAGCCGGUGACGCAG